AAAAACUUAGUUAAUACAUAACGUUAAUUUGUCAAAUUAAAAUAAUUUAAAUAAAUAGUUUUUA
rnacentral:tRNA from 1 species